CCCAAACUUUGAUUAUCCCCAUAAGUCUCUCAACUUUAUGCAUGAUAAACUCCAUUUGUAAAAUUAUCUGCUCUUGUAUAAUCACGAAUUAUACGAUCAUGACACAAACACAAACAAACAAGGGUGAGCUAACCAUAACAUACAAUCCUUAAAACACACUCACCUUAUAUAAUUCAAACAUACAUCAUUAAAAUUCAAUAUACACAAUUAUUCUAAUGCCAUCAAUUGAUUUUAUUAUGUCUUUUAUUCCUCGUAACAUAAUGUCAC
rnacentral:lncRNA from 1 species